UACGUAGGGUGCAAGCGUUGUCCGGAAUUAUUGGGCGUAAAGAGCUCGUAGGCGGUUUGUUGCGUCGGCUGUGAAAUCCCGAGGCUCAACCUCGGGUCUGCAGCCGAUACGAGCAAACUAGAGUGUUGCAGGGGAGACUGGAAUUCCUGGUGUAGCGGUGAAAUGUGUAGAGAGUCGGGAGGAACACCGGUGGCGAAGGCGGGUCUCUGGGCAACAACUGACGCUGAGGAGCGAAAGCGUGGGGAGCGAACAGG
rnacentral:rRNA from 1 species